UACCAUUCUGAAAAGGAUGCUAAUACCGCAUGACAUAUCGGACCACAUGGUUCUGAUAUCAAAGAUUUUAUCGCUUGAAGAUGGACUCGCGUCCGAUUAGUUAGUUGGUGAGGUAACGGCUCACCAAGACCGCGAUCGGUAGCCGGACUGAGAGGUUGAACGGCCACAUUGGGACUGAGACACGGCCCAGACUCCUACGGGAGGCAGCAGUGGGGGAUAUUGCGCAAUGGGGGCAACCCUGACGCAGCAACGCCGCGUGAAGGAUGAAGGUUUUCGGAUUGUAAACUUCUUUUAUUAAGGACGAAAAAUGACGGUACUUAAUGAAUAAGCUCCGGCUAACUACGUGCCAGCAGCCGCGGUAAUACGUAGGGAGCAAGCGUUGUCCGGAUUUACUGGGUGUAAAGGGUGCGUAGGCGGCUUUGCAAGUCAGAUGUGAAAUCUAUGGGCUCAACCCAUAAACUGCAUUUGAAACUGUAGAGCUUGAGUGAAGUAGAGGCAGGCGGAAUUCCCCGUGUAGCGGUGAAAUGCGUAGAGAUGGGGAGGAACACCAGUGGCGAAGGCGGCCUGCUGGGCUUUAACUGACGCUGAGGCACGAAAGCGUGGGUAGCAAACAGGAUUAGAUACCCUGGUAGUCCACGCUGU
rnacentral:rRNA from 1 species